rnacentral:rRNA from 1 species
GACGAACGCUGGCGGCGUGCUUAACACAUGCAAGUCGAACGGAAAGGCCCUGCUUUUGUGGGGUGCUCGAGUGGCGAACGGGUGAGUAACACGUUAGUAACCUUCCCUUUACUUUGGGAUAACUUCAGGAAACUGGGGCUAAUACCGGAUAGUAGCUCCUGCUGCAUGGUGGGUGUUGGAAAGUUUCGGCGGUUGGGGAUGGACUCGCGGCUUAUCAGCUUGUUGGUGGGGUAGUGGCUUACCAAGGCUUUGACGGGUAGCCGGCCUGAGAGGGUGACCGGCCACAUUGGGACUGAGAUACGGCACAGACUCCUACGGGAGGCAGCAGUGGGGAAUAUUGCACAAUGGGCGGAAGCCUGAUGCAGCAACGCCGCGUGCGGGAUGACGGCCUUCGGGUUGUAAACCGCUGUCGCCUGUGACGAAGAGUGAGUGACGGUAAUGGGUAAAGAAGCACCGGCUAACUACGUG